GGGGAAUAUUGGACAAUGGGGGCAACCCUGAUCCAGCCAUGCCGCGUGUGUGAAGAAGGCCUUCGGGUUGUAAAGCACUUUAAGCGGGGAGGAAGGCCUGAUGGCUAAUAUCCAUCGGGAUUGACGUUACCCGCAGAAUAAGCACCGGCAAACUUCGUGCCAGCAGCCGCGGUAAUACGAAGGGUGCGAGCGUUAAUCGGAAUUACUGGGCGUAAAGCGCGCGUAGGUGGUUAAGUAAGCGAUCUGUGAAAGCCCCGGGCUUAACCUGGGAACUGCAGGUCGAACUGCUUGGCUAGAGUAUGGUAGAGGGGUGUGGAAUUUCCUGUGUAGCGGUGAAAUGCGUAGAUAUAGGAAGGAACAUCAGUGGCGAAGGCGACACCCUGGACCGAUACUGACGCUGAGGCACGAAAGCGUGGGGAUCAAAC
rnacentral:rRNA from 1 species